AGGCUGCUGGUGUAGAUCAAAUUACACGCAAGUCUGUAAUUUAUUUAUCAUUUAUUUGUGUAAAUGACUUUUUUUUUCUCAAAGGAAAACAAAUUGUCACGUUUUAUUAUCCUCCUCUAGCCGCCUAUCACUCCAGUCCAGCAGGUAGCGCUAAAACACAUACGUUUGUUCGCCAAACACCUUUAAACCUCAGAAGAAGAAGAUUUCUUUUACCCCGUUCUCUGUUGUUUUGUUGUGAUACUGGUUUAAUACAAACGGUUAGAAAUGUUUUUUUUUCUAAAUAGAGAAAUACGGGUUUUGAGUUAGGUUAGUAAAUACCUGUAAUAUUCUCGUCCUCACAGCCGUGUCUAAGUUUUGAAGCGAGCAGGAAUAUCUGGAGGAGUUUAUCAUCUGAACUGAGAUCUGCUGCUGUGAAAAUGAUGUUCGUUAAAGAAGAGAGAGAAGAGAACACGAGUGAACCAGAAACCUGGAGAAUAAAACACGAGGAACCAGAAACCUGGAGAAUAAAACACGAGGAACCAGAAACUUUGAGAAUAAAACACGAGGAACAAGGAGAGUUCACUGAAGAAAAAGAGGAAAACGAAGAAUCAAGUCCUCAAGAGAAGCAGAACGCAUGUGAUCAAUGCGAUAAAAUGUUUUUAUGGGCUUCACUUCUGAAGAAACACUUGAAAGUUCAUGCAAAGAAACCACAUUCAUGUCAUUUGUGUGGUAAGAGUUUUUUGCAUGUACAAAGUUUGAAAGAACAUCAGAAAAUACAUACUGAUGUGAGAGAGUAUGUGUGCUCUGAGUGUGAGAAGACUUUUAGUGCAGCAAGCAGUUUAAAACGGCAUGAGAGGAUUCACACUGGAGAGAAACCUUACAAGUGUUCACACUGUGACAAGAGAUUCAGUCAUUCAGCAAAUCUGAAAACACAUGAGAGGAUCCACACUGGAGAGAAACCUUACAAGUGUUCACACUGUGACAAGAGAUUCAGUUAUUCAGCAAAUCUGAAAACACAUGAGAGGAUCCACACUGGAGAGAACCCUCACAAGUGUUCACACUGUGACAAGAGAUUCAGUGAUUCAUCAAGUCUAAAAAAACAUGAGAGGAUUCACACUGGAGAGAAAACUAAUAAGUGUCCACACUGUGACAAGAGAUUCAGUCAGUCAAUAGACCUGAAAAGACAUGAGAGGAUUCACACUGGAGAGAAACCUUACAAGUGUUCACACUGUGACAAGAGAUUCAUUCGUCGAGCAGAUCAGAAAACGCAUGAGAUGAUGCACACUGGAGAGAAACCUUACAAGUGUUCACACUGUGACAAGAGAUUCAGUAAUUCAUCAACUCUGAACACACAUGUGAGGAUCCACACUGGAGAGAAACCUUACAAGUGUUCACACUGUGACAAGAGAUUCAGUCAUUCAUUAACUCUGAAAACACAUGUGAGGAUCCACACUGGAGAGAAACCUUACAAGUGUUCACACUGUGACAAGAGAUUCAGUCAUUCAUUAACUCUGAACACACAUGUGAGGAUCCACACUGGAGAGAAACCUUACAAGUGUUCACACUGUGACAAGAGAUUCAGUCAUUCAUUAACUCUGAAAACACAUGUGAGGAUCCACACUGGAGAGAAACCUUACAAGUGUUCACAAUGUGACAAGAGAUUCAGUCAGUCAAUAGAGCUGAAAAGACAUGAGAGGAUUCACACUGGAGCGAAACCUUACAAGUGUUCACACUGUGACAAGAGAUUCAGUGAUUCAUCAUAUCUGAAUAGACAUGAGAGGAUUCACACUGGAGAGAAACCUUACAAGUGUUCGCAAUGUGACAAGAGAUUCAGUGAUUCAUCAUAUCUGAAAACACAUGAGAGGAUCCACACUGGAGAGAAACCUUACAAGUGUUCACACUGUGACAAGAGAUUCAUUCGUCGAGCAGAUCAGAAAACGCAUGAGAUGAUGCACACUGGAGAGAAACCUUACAAGUGUUCACACUGUGACAAGAGAUUCAGUAAUUCAUCAACUCUGAAAACACAUGUGAGGAUCCACACUGGAGAGAAACCUUACAAGUGUUCACACUGUGACAAGAGAUUCAGUCAUUCAUUAACUCUGAAAACACAUGUGAGGAUCCACACUGGAGAGAAACCUUACAAGUGUUCGCAAUGUGACUGGAGAUUCAUUCAGUCAAUAGAGCUGAAAAGACAUGAGAGGAUUCACACUGGAGAGAAAGCACAUCACCGCAAUGUACGUGGGAAGCGUUCCAUUAAGUCAUCGGUUAUACACAGUCAAACAAAAAACAAUCACAGUAAGGCCCCGUACACGCGGAGACGCAUUUAGAUGUUUAUGUAAAUAUCUUGUUUGGUAUAUGCUUUCGUCCAGACGGAUCCAGCAUUUUGAGAGAAUGAAUUCACUAUUUCUUUUAAACCAGGUCCCAGAGUGGAUAAAUCUGAAAAUGACACCUUUGGGUUUUUGUGUACUGCCAAUCCAUAUAUUUUGUGAAACGAAGUCAUCACCCCACGUCUCUACUAUAGUCAGACACCGCUACGUCGUGUAACACCAACAACAAUGGAGAAAUACAUGUUUGUGUUCAUGCUGCAGAAGCUACUGAGCCUAUUAGCUUGAUUAAACUUACUAGUAGAGCUAAACAAUAUUGGAAAACAACUCGCAUCGUGAUAAUUUGUCUUUGCAAUGUAUAUUGCGAUAUGGAAAAAAAUCACCAGAUGACUUGAACAGCUCUUUUAAAAAAAAUAAAAAAAUGAUUGGGGUGAUUUUGUAGGUGAAUAAAUCAGCUAAGAAAAAGGCAAAUUACAAACAUAGAUAAAUAUAAUAGAUAAAUUAUAUGAAUCAAAUAAAAAAUGCUUUGUAUUCUUCAGGUAAGACCAACUGUUACUGUCUGUUACAUUAAGUCUGAUACAUAACUGCUGCGUUACAUUGCUGACAGAAUGCAGUGUUUAUAAUCUAGAGAUUGUAAAGAGGAUGUAGCACACGCACUGUCAAGUCAAGUGCCAGCGGAUUACAGACUUGCUCCCGCGAGACCCGACGCAACAGAGAGCGGCGCGGGACAAGACUCGUGUGUGUGCAGGAUGCAGGAAAAUAAAAAAAGAAAUAUCUAAACAUAAAAAAUGUAAAACAAAUAAAUUAUUUAUCUAUUGCACAAAAGCAAAAUGAACUAUUAAAUAUAAACGAUUAACUCUGCGUAUGCAGAGCUUCUAUUUAGGCUAUAACAGGGAUUGGUUUGUUGAAUGAUGAGACUGAUGCGAGAUACUGAUCCAAAAGCACACGCUUUGUUAAUAAGUUUAAUUUCUUCCUUUAAUAUAGGCUAAGCGAGUUUUUCAUUAUGGUUGCUGUUUCCAUUUAAAAUAAAUAAAACAUUGAACCACAAACUAAGCAUUUGUUUUAAAAUGGGGAAAAUACCUUAUUUAUUUUGGUUACAAUAUCCAUCUUAUUAGUUUUUGUUAAUACAAUUCAAAUGUUUAAAUGCCAAUGGGAAUUUGUACCAUUGUACUUUUUAUGGCUUGUGUUUUAAUUAAUAGGCUAAUAAUGAACCACAUACUACUAUAGUUUUAAAGAAAAGGGAAAUCCAAAGACUUUUUUUGUGUGUUACAAUGCAAAUAAAACAUUUCCCUUAUAUUGUUAAUAAAAGUUCAAAGUUUAAUAAAAGAGAAUUUGUCAUCGUA